GAGCUGGUCAUGUGAUUGUCAUUUAGACCAUGAGUGGUAUCUAUGUACUGUACUGUACCUACUCAUACCCUACCCAGUGUCUCCAAAUUGUCUUCGCGGAGUUGGUGGAGUUGGUGGAGUGGACUUUGGAGUCGAUCAACGCCAUUUGAGUCGAGUUAAUGAGGCGGACAAGUCCGUGGAUUGGAUUCGAUUGACAUCACUCUGACAUAUGUCACUUUUGGUGUCAGAGCUGACUACAUAUACCAAGUACAGUACAAUACACACUAUACCU
rnacentral:misc_RNA from 1 species